rfam:Schistosoma haematobium scaffold627_24, whole genome shotgun sequence.
AGCUUUCUGUAUCCGUGCUGAAAUUUCGUCAAACACCAGACCACAAGGGCUGAUGAGACUUCCAAGAUAAGUGAAGCG